rnacentral:rRNA from 1 species
CGGAGGGUGCAAGCGUUAAUCGGAAUUACUGGGCGUAAAGCGCACGCAGGCGGUCUGUUAAGUCAGAUGUGAAAUCCCCGGGCUUAACCUGGGAACUGCAUUUGAAACUGGCAGGCUUGAGUCUCGUAGAGGGGGGUAGAAUUCCAGGUGUAGCGGUGAAAUGCGUAGAGAUCUGGAGGAAUACCGGUGGCGAAGGCGGCCCCCUGGACGAAGACUGACGCUCAGGUGCGAAAGCGUGGGGGGCAAACAGGAUU